UACGAAGGGUGCAAGCGUUACUCGGAAUUACUGGGCGUAAAGCGUGCGUAGGCGGUUUGUUAAGUCUGUCGUGAAAGCCCCGGGCUCAACCUGGGAAUGGCGAUGGAAACUGGCGAGCUAGAGUACGGUAGAGGAGAGUGGAAUUCCACGUGUAGCAGUGAAAUGCGUAGAGAUGUGGAGGAACACCGAUGGCGAAGGCAGCCCCCUGGGCUAACACUGACGCUCAGGCACGAAAGCGUGGGGAGCAAACAGG
rnacentral:rRNA from 1 species